rnacentral:rRNA from 1 species
CCCUUAGAUGUUCUGGGCCGCACGCGCGCUACACUGACGGAUUCACCGAGUUCAUCCUUGGCCGAAAGGUCCGGGUAAUCUGGAAACUCCGUCGUGAUGGGGCUAGAUUAUUGCAAUUAUUAAUCUUCAACGAGGAAUUCCUAGUAAGCGUGAUUCAUCAGAUCGCGUUGAUUACGUCCCUGCCCUUUGUACACACCGCCCGUCGCUCCUACCGAUUGAAUGGUCCGGUGAAGCGUUCGGAUGGACGCAUCGCGGUGGUCCGCCGCUGCGGCGCGUCCAGAAGUUCGUUAAACCUUAUCAUUUAGAGGAAGGAGAAGUCGUAACA